GGGUAUUGCCACCGGUUCAAACUGAACUGGUGGGGAAAUUAUUAUUGCCACCGGUUCAAAACUGGUGGCUUUGUCUUUAAAAAAAAACCGCCCCUUCAUAAACCCUAACCCUAUCACUCUCCUCUCUAUAGCCUCCCCUCCUCUCCCUUCUCUCUCCUGCUCUCCCCCUCUCUUCUCUCUCCUGCGAUCUCCCCUCACCACUUCUCUCUCAUUCUCAACAACCAUCAUCGUCGCCGCCAUCUAUCUCUCAUCUUCUUCUCUCUCGUUAUCUCUCUUGCCGUAGUUAGAGCUCAGUUGCAAAAUCGAAAAUCUCCCCUAAAACCAUAAAACACAGGCGAAAGCUCAACAAUGGCGGACGGGUCGAAGAAUCUGGCGCCGAACGCUUUUCCCCCGAAAUUGAAUACGAAGAGAAAACGGUGAAUUUGAUUCAGCGAAUUGACUUCGCUUGGGCGUUGGAGAGAAAUGCGAAGAACCAGAAGACGAAGGAAUCAUCUGCACUAACUUAAAGUUUGAAUAGCUGCAAAAACGACUAGACAACCCUUUGCAACCCCCACUACCUUGAUGGCAUUACACAGUCAUUGUAUUUUGAUUUUUGCCGUUGAGACUAUGAAGAUCGUUGAAUUGGUAUGUGCUUCAAUUAGUAGAACUUUUCUAAUUCUCUGUGAUUUAUUGGUAUUAAAUACGGGCAAAUUUAUUAGUAUAUGUUCUAAUCAUUAGAGUAUAAUAAGCUGAUGAAACCGAGCAAGUAGGAUCUAUCUUGAGUGUGCUCUUAUAUAUUAAACAGAGCAAGUAGGAUCUAUCAUGUUUAUUUUGCCUUACUUCGAGUAUUUGAUUGGUUAUACAUGGUUGAAUUUGCUUUUUGUUGGAAAUAUUCUGUGGUGCUAAUUGUAAGGGGUCAAAAUCAAAUUAGUUUUCUGAUAAUUUUGACAUUUGAUGAUGAUAUUUUUGUAUUCUGAUGUUGUGAUUGAUUCUUUGUUAUUAUGCAUUAUUAUUGAUGUUGUUGCGAUAUGCCUAUGUGGUGUGAUUGUGAGAUUUGAUUAUUUCUAAAUACAAUGCUGAUGUGAUGUGCCUAUGUGGUGCCGAUGUGUCUUAGGUUUCUUAAUUUUGAGUUUUGGUGAAAGAAGGGAUCCUUAAGUAUGAUAUGCAUUUCUCUUGGUGCACUUGUGUUAAUUGCUAAUUUAAGCUACUUGCUUUUACUGCCCUUGCUGCCUGGUUUUGAUAUUAUGAUAUAUAUAUAUGUUUAUGUGCUACAAAUACUUGGCACUUUAAAAGAGAUAGAGCACUCCCUCAUGAGCAUGUUUGAAUUUGAGGUGCCAGCUUUUUAUUCCCUUUCGUUUUUUUUUUUUGGUUUUUGUGUUGACUAGACAGUCAUGUAAGUUCAUAAUAAUGGAGUUUUCCAAUCUAGGACAAGAAAAGGAGGGUGGGGUGAACCAUAUGAAUGUAGAGAG